AGCAGUAUUGAACUGAAGAGUUUGAUCAUGGCUCAGAUUGAACGCUGGCGGCAGGCCUAACACAUGCAAGUCGAGCGGAUGAAGGGGGCUUGCUCCUGGAUUCAGCGGCGGACGGGUGAGUAAUGCCUAGGAAUCUGCCUGGUAGUGGGGGAUAACGUCCGGAAACGGGCGCUAAUACCGCAU
rnacentral:rRNA from 1 species